CCCCUGGUGGCUCAAUAGUAAAGCAUCUGCCUGCAAUGCAGGAGACCUGGGUUUGAUCCCUCGGUAGGGAA
rnacentral:tRNA from 1 species